AUCAUGACUGAUUUUUAACGUGUCCUUCGGAAUAUAUUAUUUUGACUGUGUAAUUGGGUAUCGCUUAUGGGUUUGCUUAUUACACAGUUGGCACUUGAACACACAGGUUUGAUCUGCAGAGGUCCACUUAGACCAGGACUUUUUUCCAUAAAUACAUUACAGUACUGAUUAGAUGAGCAAUCUGUAUAAAGCACACAGAACAGUCCAGGCACAUCACAGACACUCCAGUGUAGCUGCUGUGAAGAUUCACAGAUCUGGAGAGCUCUUCAAGUCAGAGCUGACUGGGCCCAAAUGAAUGGAAGUUGCUGUACAUGCUCUCAGCAAGCCGGGAUGACCAGAGAGUCAGGGUCAAGGAGACAUCCUGGAGAAGGCAGGUGUUGACCCUUGGAUGGAUUUGACAUUACGGUCGGGGUGGGGGGUAGUGUGGGGGGGGCGUAGUGUGGGUGAAAAUAACCAAUCAUUUCCAGUCUAUCUAAAUCUUGGGUUUUUUUAUUAUUAUUUUUUUUAAAGAUUUCAUUUAUUUAUUUGACAGAGACAGCGAGAGAGGGAAUACAAGCAGGGGGAGGGGGAGCGGGAGAGGGAGAAGCAGGCCUCCUGCUGAGCAGGGAGCCCAAUGCAGGGCUCCAUCCCAGGACCCUGGGAUCAUGACCUGAGCCGAAGGCAGACGCUUAACGACUGAGCCACCCAGGCGCCUCUUGUUUUUUGUUUUUAAACUUAACUUCUUAUUUAGUAAAUGAUAGUUUUAGAAUUAUUUUUUAUUUUUUAGAUUUAUUCAUUUGAGAGAGAAAGAAAGAGGGCGAGAGUGGGGGAGGGCAGAGGGAGAGAAAGAAUCCCAAGCAGACUCUGCGCUCAGUGCAGAGCCCGAUGUGGGGCUCCAUCUCAUGACCCUGAGAUCAUGACCUGAGCUGAAACCAAAAGUCAGAUGCUUAACCGACCAAGCCAUCCAGGUGCCCCUAAACUUAGUUUGCGCGUGCACAAAUGGGGGAAAGGGGCAUAGGGAGAGAAUCUUCAAGCCGACUCCCCACUGAGUGCAGAGUCCUAUUUGGGGCUCAAUCUCAUGACCCUGAGAUCACAGCCUGAGCCAAAAUCAAGAGUCUGACGCUCAGGACACUCUGGACUCAGCCACCCAGGUGCCCUCCCUUUUUUUUUGUUUUUGACUACAGCUUUUCUAUGCAAUAGUCAUUGUCUUUUGUUAUUUAUUUCCUGCUGGAGGAAUUGCCAAGUACAAUCUCUUUGAGCUGUGGAGUUUUGCUGAUUGUCCUUUAGCUGAAUUAUAGUAAUAGUGCUAAACAAAGACCAAGACUAUAAAAUGGGCGGUCUGAAUGAGUGAUGUCUCAGUUAAUCUCUCCAGCUAAAAAUUAACUGUGAUUAAGUUUUAAAAAUCAGCUCGGAAUCACCAAAUGGUUUGAGGUCUUCAGUAUGUUUAGGAAAUUAUUCUAACCCCAGUGGGUGCUUGAUAAUUCCAGAUUUUAAGUGGAUUUGCUAACCUAUGACUGGUAGAGUAGGAGUCUCCAACCCACUGGAUACAUCUAGAAGGGCGGGGUAUCACUUCUGAGAAAUGAGAACCACCUCCUGUGACUCAAGGGGUCCAGGCAGGGUGUGGCCUUUUUCUCUGAGGGAGUCACUCACAGUAAGUCAAAGGUGACUUGGCAAGAUUCCCACUCUGUAUGUUAGAGAACACACUAGAGAACGCAUAGAUAAAGUCACAGAUUGAAGCAAGCCACAGGGUAUGAGGCCUGACAGCCAGGCGGGUGGGGUGUUGGGUGGGGUGUUAUCCUUCUGGGGCAGGACUUAAACUAUUUAUGUCCCAUCUGUGUAAGGUGCUAUUUUCCUGUCAAAUACUUGGACGUCUAAAAGGGGGUAAGGCAGGAUUCUUGCUCAGGUGGCUCCCACAUGUCGUGUGUAACAAACCACACACCGGCACAGGAGGGUGUCAUGGUGCUUAGAGCAAAGAGGGGAGAGCAGCCAUCUGGCAGUUAAAGACGUGCCUGCUGGACUCCUUUGGGGAUGAGGAAGUUUUCUUGGCUCCUGGGGGGCAGGCCCCAAAUGCCAUCCUACCCAGAGGAGCAGGCCUGGUGGUUCCGGGCUGGCACCUUGGCAGAGGGGACGCCUUUAAACUUUGCACUAACUGGAACAUGGUUUCUGGUUGUUGACUCUUUGGUCUACAGGCCUAGUUAUGUGGUUCAUCCAUGACUGGGCUCAGACCCUCUCCCGAAGGGCCCAUGGGCUAUUUCUUACCCAGAUCUGACCACUACUUACGGCUUUGUGACCCAAAAACCAGACGUUUUGUUUCCUGUGGUCAUUUAACGCUGCUGUCCUUGUUUGUGGGGUGGCUCUGGGGAGCGAAGUUAAAUCUGUGUAAGGCAUUUGUUUCUACUACUUCUCCAAAAGAUAACAAGCAGGUGGUACUUUUUAGUAGAAACUGUCCUUACAUUUUUGUUUUUUUUUCAAUUAAGUAGUCCUUCAGCCUCUUCCAUCCUUGAAUAAGUUACCUUUAUACUCUUUUUUUUUUUUUUUUUUAAUACUCUCUUUUUUAAAAAUACCCUGAGUUCUGCUCACUCACCUUCGGUGGCCUGCUCCCUCCCCAUCACGGUGUGGUCUGAGCAGUGCUCAGGCCCAGCAUUGUGUCAGGCCCACCGUAUUUGUCUUCUUGUUCCAGGAUUUAGUGGUGUGAGUGGGAACCUAGGUGACUUGCCAGAGUCACAAGGCCUGAGCUCUGUGUGGGUUCUCAGAAGCUCUCAGUGCCCCACCUGUCCGCUGAUAAACUGGGCCUCUCCUGUCCUGGGCAGCCGGGCGCCUUCUGUGUGAGCUCAUCUGGAGAAAGGGCUAGACUGCUCGACAUUGGUUAAAAGGAAAAACAGUAGCGUUUAGCUUGGCUGCUUUGAUUUUCAAAUGGCUUUCUACUUUAUUAAGUUGGCUUUUACAGGAUCUGUGUCCUCUGGCCAAAGGUCACUAGGAACACACCUGUGGCUAAACCAAAUUGGGUUUGUCCCUCUGUCCCCAGCAAGGCACACACCUUCAGGGCUCUGGGGUGUGCGAUUCAGGUGAGGGCUCGAGAAGGCAGGGCUUGCUGUGGAUGGGGUGCUGGCGGGAAGCAGGGUAGUUUUAAUCCAUAUCCUGUAGAAGGUGGGGAUGAAGUGUGGCCAGAGCUGUGACUGGUGCAGACAUAGGCACACAGUCUCGUUGGCUGGGAGAGGGGGAUGUUUGGUGUUUUUACAGUUUGCACGGCGACCUUUCUCUGUGGUCAGACAAGAUUGUGAAGUGGUCUUCUAUUUAUUGCUUUACCGUUGGUCUCAUUCCAGCCUGGUCACAGGCUGCCUCCCAGGGGUCAGGCUGCACCUCUCUCUCCAGAGCUUGUUUUCUUAGCAGCUCCCCGUGGAUGCCACAGGCACAGUGUCUUUGCCCUGUUUGUAUGUAUCCUGUUCCUUUUCCUGGUUUGGAGAAUGCCUGUAGUGAAAAAUGUUCCAAGCCUGAAGUAAAAUCAGGUGGAAGGUCUUCGGAAGAGGAGAGGAGAGAGCAGCGCUGGAUGGUGCAUUCAGAGCUGGGAGACCCCAAGUGCCCGCUGCCAUUCUGCUAGGAGCCGACUUGUCUCUUGAUGGUGCCCUCCACACAUUCAGGGGAGGCAGUGGUUUUGACCGGUGAGGGGGAGCUGCUUUGUGAUACACAGGUAAUAAAGUCACUGAAGGCACAGUGGGAGCCUGUGUGGUUAGAAAUGUCCUGCCAGCUUGGGGAAGGCGGUGUCCCAGCCAGAGGAAAGGUGAGCCUGUGACCCAGGACAGCUCAGGUGGAAUAAAGAGGCUCCGGGACACACGGUGACCCUGGGAGGAAGGCUGAGCAGGCCAGGCCAUGCCUGGCCCCUGGUGGCCCUGCUGCAGAGCUCGGGGGUUUACCAGGACGGGCGUAAACCUGGAGAUGCCGCGUAAAUACUGAGCAGCACAGACUCUUCGGGGUGUUGGGUUAGAAGGCAAAGGUUGGAAGAAAUUACUACUAGAAGAGGUAAGUAUCAGAAAUACAAGGCAUUUUAUUUAUUUUUUAAUUUUAAUUUUUUAGAAGUGCUAGUUUCUGUUUUUGUUUUAGAGGAUGGGGAGGGGCAGAGGGGGAGAGAGAAUCCUAAGCAGGCAGUGCGGGGCCUGACAUGGGGCUCGAUCCCGCGACCCUGAGAUCACUACCUGAGCCAAAAUCAAAAGUUGGAUGCUUAACUGACUGAGCCACCCAGGCACCCCGAGAAGUAUUUUUUAAAGCCGUAUUUUGUCUGGGGGAAGAAAGGAGAAAGGAACAGGCAGAUGGCAUGUUAAUGUAGUACAAAGCGUGUUUCUUCAUCAAAAAAGAUGUUCUUAAAAAAUGAAAGGGGUAGAACAGAUGUGGUUGGAGGGUAUUUUGAACUGAGGCUGCAUUUUUGUGGCCGAUGCCCAUGAGUCCAUGUGUCACAAAGAUUUGGCAUCACGUCAAGGUGUCGGGGGCACAAAUCUUCAAAAGUAGCUCGUAGAUUAAACCCGGAUAGUUACAGCAAUUUUAAUAUUCUCAUAACUGUAGAUCCCAGAAGCUGAGUGAGGUGAAAUUAAAAUAAUUCUCUUGUCCAAUUGUCUCUUAAAAGAAUUGUAGGUUUUUAUGUUGCUUGAAGAGCAAGUCUUUCGAUUUUUGUUGGAACAAAGGAAUGAAUUGAAAGCACUGUGGUAAACACUGGAAAUGCUGUCCCUUCUGGGCAGUCCUGUCCAAAGCUGGGGGGGUUGGGGAAUGAAAGGUCUCAGUGCGUCAGUGCUGUUCACUCCAGUAAUGCAGGUCCCUAAACUCAAACCGCACUCCCAGCAUUUGGGGGAAGAGAGGACCAGCACGUCUGUACGGGAGACUUGCGGCGUUCAGGGCUCUCCGACCUGGCCGUGCUCCUGGGGAGCCUUUCCUCUCAGAGGCCUGUUUUUACAGACAGAUGCUUUCCCAUUUGCGGCGGCUUCAGCUGGGCUCAUGUCUCAGAGCUUUUUGAUGGAGGUCUUUGACAGGUGUGCCUGUUGCUAGCGGGUGCCAGCGACGCCUAGGGACGCACCUUCAUUAAGGACACUUCCUUAACAGUCCUGACUGGCCGUGGCCUGUGUGCUUCCUCAGGCGUGUCGUAGCUUCUGCUGGACAAGGAGCACUCUGCGGGCUGUCACGGGUGGACAAGGGCGCUUCCGUCCUACUCCUCCCCCCGGUAUUUGCCUGACCUCGUGUCUUCACCAUCGUUGACCUUCACAGGGUUUGAUGGAGUGUUUGGUGGUAUUUGGCAUAGUUGUUAGAUAAUCAUCUGCUGUCAGAUCCUUUGGGAGGGUUGAGACAGAAUUCUGAUGAAGAAAUAAUGGAUUAUAUUGACUUUUACCUUCCUCAGUUUUUACUAAACUGAAACAAAGUUCUCAUGCAUUACUAGGUUGCAGAAACGUAUGGUAAGGAUAUAACCUCCAGGGGCAAAGACAAGCCGAUUGCCGUAUGUAAAACUUUCAGUCGACCUCAGUUUCAAGCUUUAUCUGUUCUCUCAUUUCACUUAGUUUCCCCAGGAUUUCCUAUUGAGCCUCACGUUCCUUGAGUGUUCUGUAUUUAAUUCACUCAAGGCUGGGUUUUGCUUGACCAAAUGUGCUUUCAGUAGAGCGAGGCAGUUUACCUAUUAGCUUGAAUUAAAGCGGUUUGUGAACUGCUUGCUCCCCUCCUCCUGAGGGAAAGGAGGAACUCCUGUGAAGGGGCCUUUCUGGGUGGGUUGGAGAUGGAGGCGUGGAGGCUCCACCUCGGAGCGUGUGCUUGAGCCGGAGUGGGACUAACCGUGGCUGCCAGGCCUUCCCCCCGCUUUGGUGUCCCGGUGCAGUGGGCCUGUCUGGGGCAUGGCUAUGUGGUGCUGGGGAGCUAACUCAGCCUUGCUUUGAAAUGACGUAAUCAGGUGCCCAAAUGCCACGGUGAUUCUUGGACAAGCCUGUGCAUGCACUAGCGUUUUUAAAAUGUCAUUUAUAAAAAGCUGUUGUGUGGGAUGUUUCUCUCCCUUUCCAGGUACAAGAUAUCAGCUGGAUGAUUGAAAGUGUUAGCUUGGGAAUUGGGUACAUUUCACAAAGUAGCAUAGUUGCCUUUUUCCAGGAAAAUGUCUUAAAAACUUAGCAUUUUAGAAACUCCUAGGCAUUUUAAAAUAUAGGUAAAUCUUUAAAUUCAGCUUUUUACCCAGUACAGAGUGGGACACACUGGAUUCAGUCAGAAAUUCUUCCAGGUGUUUACUCUACACCGACUUUUCCUUUGAACCUCUACUUCAGCUGCUACUGCCCUGUGCUCUAAGUCCUCCAGAGACCCCGCUUGGGUUUGAGAAGCUGAUAGCCCGGAGGAUGCCCCUCACACGCUAGACCGUCCGCCUUCACGGUAGAAUGUGCUCACGUAGCAAACAGCUGAGCCCCACUUUGGGCCAGGGACUCUCGUGGCA